GGGGAUGUAGCUCAGUUGGUAGAGUGCUUGCCUCACGUGGGCCCUGAGUUCAAUCCCCAGCACCACCA
rnacentral:tRNA from 1 species